GUAGUCACCCGGGUUGCCGCAAGGCCUCUCGGGUAACCUACCACCCUUUGUUUAUUACACUUUGUUGCUUUGGCAAGCCUGCCCUCGGGCUGCUGGCUCCGGCCGGCGAGCGCCCGCCAGAGUCCACCCAAACUCUUUGUGAACAGCGACGUCUGAGUAAAAAUUUAAUAGCAAAAAACUUUCAACAACGGAUCUCUUGGUUCU
rnacentral:misc_RNA from 1 species